AUACGGAGGGUGCGAGCGUUAAUCGGAAUUACUGGGCGUAAAGCGUACGUAGGCGGUUGGUUAAGUUAGAUGUGAAAGCCCCGGGCUUAACCUGGGAACUGCAUUUAAAACUGGCGAACUAGAGUUGAGUAGAGGGGAGUGGAAUUUCAGGUGUAGCGGUGAAAUGCGUAGAGAUCUGAAGGAACACCAGUGGCGAAGGCGACUCCCUGGACUCGAACUGACGCUGAGGUACGAAAGCGUGGGUAGCAAACGGGAUUAGAUACCCGUGUAGUCC
rnacentral:rRNA from 1 species